rnacentral:rRNA from 1 species
GGGAUAACCUCGGGAAACUGGGGAUAAUACCAGAUAACGCAUAUAUGCUGGAAUUCUUUAUGCGUGAAAUGGAUUCGUCUGCCCAAGGAUGGGUCUGCGGCCUAUCAGGUAGUAGUGGGUGUAAUGUACCUACUAGCCGACGACGGGUACGGGUUGUGAGAGCAAGAGCCCGGAGAUGGAUUCUGAGACAUGAAUCCAGGCCCUACGGGGCGCAGCAGGCGCGAAAACUUUACAAUGCGGGAAACCGUGAUAAGGGGACACCGAGUGCCAGCAUUAUAUGUUGGCUGUCCGGGUGUGUAAAAUACACCUGUUAGCAAGGGCCGGGCAAGACCGGUGCCAGCCGCCGCGGUAACACCGGCGGCCCGAGUGGUGAUCGUGUUUAUUGGGUCUAAAGGGUCCGUAGCCGGUUUGGUCAGUCCUCCGGGAAAUCUGACGGCUUAACCGUUAGGCUUUCGGGGGAUACUGCCAGACUUGGAACCGGGAGAGGUAAGAGGUACUACAGGGGUAGGAGUGAAAUCUUGUAAUCCCUGUGGGACCACCUGUGGCGAAGGCGUCUUACCAGAACGGGUUCGACGGUGAGGGACGAAAGCUGGGGGCACGAACCGGAUUAGAUACCCGGGUAGUCCCAGCCGUAAACGAUGCUCGCUAGGUGUCAGGCAUGGCGCGACCGUGUCUGGUGCCGCAGGGAAGCCGUGAAGCGAGCCACCUGGGAAGUACGGCCGCAAGGCUGAAACUUAAAGGAAUUGGCGGGGGAGCACAACAACGGGUGGAGCCUGCGGUUUAAUUGGACUCAACGCCGGACAACUCACCGGGGGCGACAGCAAUAUGUAGGUCAGGCUGAAGACCUUGCCUGAAUCGCUGAGAGGAGGUGCAUGGCCGUCGCCAGUUCGUACUGUGAAGCAUCCUGUUAAGUCAGGCAACGAGCGAGACCCGUGCCCACUGUUACCAGCAUGUCCUCCGGGACGAUGGGUACUCUGUGGGGACCGCCGGUGUUAAAUCGGAGGAAGGUGCGGGCCACGGUAGGUCAGUAUGCCCCGAAUCUCCCGGGCUACACGCGGGCUACAAUGGAUGGGACAAUGGGUCCCUACCCUGAAAAGGGUUGGCAAUCUCACAAACCCAUUCUUAGUUCGGAUCGUGGGCUGUAACUCGC